rfam:Myotis lucifugus cont2.18005, whole genome shotgun sequence.
UUCCUUUUAUCGUCAACCCGGAGCCCCACGGCAGCUAAUGCAAGAGGCCAAAAAUGUUUUGGAGGAAGAAAAACAAAGGCAGGAAGUGGCGGCGGACUGACGGUGCGUGUGUGUCUGCGGAGAAGGGAGGGAGCCGUUUCAAUCUCUUGUUUUUCCAAACUUCUCUUCUUGUUGUUUUUCCAAACUUCAAGGUCUAGGCAG